CUUUACAAUCUUCUUUACCUUCUUUAUUACUUUAUAUAGUGAGCUGUAAUGACGUGCGCUGUCCUGUAUGUCUCUCUCUCUCUCGUUCUCAUUUUCUGAACAGCAGAUUUGUUGGUUAAAUGCUAAGAAUUCAGUCAAAUCCGGACGCUGUCAGUCGGCAUGGACUCUCUGCUGUCCUCCUCGUCUGGUUCUGCAGAAGAGAGGCUCUGGUGGGCCGCAGGGUCUCAGCGUUUGCUGCAGUCUCACGCGUCAGACGCGUCUCAGUUCGUGGAGUACAGGCCUCCUGCGCGUGACUCCAUCUCUGUGCCGCCGCAUGUGCUGUACAUCACCGUGGGACUGGUGCUGGUGGUUGUGGCCACAUAUGCGAUAGUGGGUCACCUGAUCCAUGACCUGAUCCAUGACCUGGCAGGUACCCGACGAGCUGUGUUCGGUGGCGUGUUGUCUUCAGUGUCGUGUUUCUGCUGCUUUCUCAUACUGGGUCUUUGGCCCUAAACCUGAAGCUGGUGAUGCUGAGCGCGGCGGUGAAGAGGAGAGGGUUCUGAUGGAGGAAGAGCGAGCCGGUCUGCUGCCGGGAUUCAUCACCACCGAACACUAUCACACAGGGUCCGGCCUUCAUUACAUCACUUCACUAUGAGUCUACACACAGUCUGUGCCAGCUGUCACCAUUCUGGCUUAAGUUUUCACUUCGUUUUUAACAUGUUUUUAACAUACCAGAUGCUCUAUUAGCUGCUGUAGAACAGUGAAGGAUAGAUAGCAGUCUUUCAGUAUGGAAAGAGGACGUGGUCAUGUGAUCGUUGUGAUGUCAUCAUUGUAACUGCUGCUUCUGUGAUGCCAUUAAAAUGAAUUCUGGCACUGUAUAUAUACAUAUAACAGAAGGCAUAAAUGAUGCAAGUGUGAUACAGAAUUAAAGUCUCUCCUCAUUAGGAACCAACAGCUUGUUGUGUCUGAUUCAUCUUCAUGAUUCUAGAUUAUUCUAAUGCCUGUCUGGGUCAAUAAGCACAGAAACAUGUGAGAUGUUCAGCUCUAAAACACCACAUGAAACGCAUGAGGCCUGUCAAGAGCCCAAAAUCAAAACAAUGAAAUAUGUCGUGCUAAACUAAAGCUUGC
ensembl:lncRNA